UAUUGGUCAAUGGGCGGGAGCCUGAACCAGCCAAGUCGCGUGAGGGACGACGGUCCUAUGGAUUGUAAACCUCUUUUGUCGGGGAACAAAGGCGCCCACGGGUGGGCGGAUGAGUGUACCCGAAGAAAAAGCAUCGGCUAACUCCGUGCCAGCAGCCGCGGUAAUACGGAGGAUGCGAGCGUUAUCCGGAUUUAUUGGGUUUAAAGGGUGCGUAGGCGGAAUAUCAAGUCAGCGGUAAAAAUUCGGGGCUCAACCCCGUCGUGCCGUUGAAACUGAUGUUCUUGAGUGGGCGAGAAGUAUGCGGAAUGCGUGGUGUAGCGGUGAAAUGCAUAGAUAUCACGCAGAACUCCGAUUGCGAAGGCAGCAUACCGGCGCCCAACUGACGCUGAAGCACGAAAGCGUGGGUAUCG
rnacentral:rRNA from 1 species